CUUCCGGGUCGUCUCCAGGGACAGGUACUCCACCCAGCUCUUCUUGUCCUGGUAGUUCUUGGACUCAUCCACGAUCUUCUGAAACAUCGCUCUCUUCCUGAACCCAGGGAACAAGGGAGGUGCAGGUGGGAGCAAGUGUGGAGACCCCGCCCCAAGCGCCCGUCUGCAGGGAGGCGCGGAGCCCGAGCGAGGCCCCAUCCGGGGUGCGCGGGGCCGGCGGGCAGGGACGGAAUCCGGGGCUGCGUCCCCCGGGCUGUGCCGCCGCUGCGCCCCCGUGUCUGCCGGGGGUCCCAGGCUACCCGCCCGCCCCGCGAGGCGCCCCCUCCCGGAAGGCGCGCACUUGAAGUACAGGGCCAGGUCCGUGGCGAUGAUGGCGAUGUCCAUCAGGUGGAUCACGUGCUCGUGCUGCCGCCGGUUCAGGUUCUGGUAGAUGUUCAGGGUCUGCGGAGGUUAUGCCCAGCGCGUCAGGCGCCCUGCGGCCACCUCUCAGGGUGCCCGGGGACCCCGCCCCUUCCGCCUCGGCUGCCUGUGCCUCUCACGCCCCCGCCCUCGGGCCCUCGGUGGGCGGGACCCCUAAUCCGCCUGCUGCUCAGGGCCCUCCUCAGGGUGCCCAGCUCUCCACCAGCGGCUCCAUCGUCGGCUUGGGACGCAGAUGGCCUCAGAGGUCACCACCGGGGAGCGCAGGGAGGGGUCCACUGAGUGUCCAGGUCCUUGGGGGCCGCUCAGGGCUCGGCUGCCCUUCAUUCCCCCGCUGGUGGGUCCCGGGCCGCUUCCCCUUCGGCUUCCACCCCACCCCAUGAGGGGCCCUUUCCAGUUGUCUUCCCCACAAGCGUUUUCCCAGGGCCUCCGAUGCACCUGCCCUCAGCCUCGGCCCUCCGCCUUCUCUGCCGCCCUCCCCCAGUGCUCACACACCCAGUGCUCACCCGCUGCAUCAGAACCCUGCUCCGCAGGAUACGGCCCUGCCGUCCUGCGGACGCUGCGUCCCCAGCGCCCACAGCAGAAACCGAGGGGCCUGCACAACCCUGGUGAUUCUGGCAGCCACGUACCAUGAGCAGCGUGAACAUCGUCUGGGCCACGUUGAAGCCGUGGCGCCAGUUGUGGUAGGUGAUUCUCCGGUACCCUUUGCUGAUGGAGAACAGGAACCGCACCAGGACCUGGGGGAGCCGAGAGGACACAGGGCUCCGGCGGCAAGCGUCCUCACACGUGGCCGGCCUCCAUGGGAGGGACGGGAGCAAGGUUCUUACCAGGAUUUCGCCCAGCUCGUCCUCAUCGCAGUCAGCAGGCUCCUUCCCCAGGCGCGCUCUGGUUGGCUACACAGAGACACAGAUGUGUCACGAGAAAGAGCUUCGCAUGUGGGACAAGGUGACGGCGGUGCGUCCACCCCGUGUGAGCUAGAGGAAGGUGCUGUCAAGAGCUUGUGCUUUCACCCUGGGAAGGCCCUGGCGGCCUCUGAUCUGGAGACAAAUGACCGUGUGCAUGGCCUGCUGACUUUCCCACCUGUCCUCUCUCGGGCACUGCCUUACGCAGUCCUCAGAGCCAUGACCUCUGGGUGACCCCUGGAUGGACCCCUGGACGACCUGCCCCCACCACACAGCCGUGACCCCUGGAUGACCUGCCCCCACCGCACAGCCAUGACCCCUGGGUGAGCCCUGGAUGACCUGCCUCUGCUGCACAGCCAUGACCCCUGUGACCCCUCAAUGGACCCCUGGACGACCUGCCUGUGCCACACAGCCAUGACCCCUGGGUGACCCCUGGACGACCUGCCCCUGCCGCACAGCCGUGACCCCUGGGUGACCCCUGGACGACCUGCCCCCGCCGCACAGCCAUGACCCCUGGGUGAGCCCUGGAUGACCUGCCUCUGCUGCACAGCCAUGACCCCUGGGUGACCCCUGGAUGCCCUGCCCCCGCCGCACAGCUGUGACCCCUGGGUGACCCCUGGACGACCUGCCCCCACCGCACAGCCGUGACCCCUGGGUGACCCCUGGACGACCUGCCCCCACCGCACAGCCGUGACCCCUGGGUGACCCCUGGAUGACCUGCCCCCACCACACAGCCGAGACCCCUGGGUGACCCCUGGACGACCUGCCCCUGCCACACAGCCGUGACCCCUGGGUGACCCCUGGACGUCCUGCCCCGCCGCACCAGGAUGAGCUGGAUCUCGUCCCUGUCGCACUUCACGUGGUAAAGGACCAUGUCCUGUGCGAUGUCCUUGCGGUUCUCCAGCUUGUUCAUCUUGUCGUAGGUGUCGGUGUUCAUCACUGACCAGCCCAGGAACUGUGUCAGGGACUGGAGGGGAUGGCAGUGUCACUGGCGCUCAGCGCUCCCGGCGCGCCCCCUCCCAUGUGCCUGUGUGCCAGGCCCCGUGGCUCGGCGGGCAGGUCCUGGGGCUGCCACCAUGGUGUCGCAGUGCUUCUGUGUGGGGUCUCCCGGGUGCUCUGCAGAGGCUCCUGCUCCCGGGGGGGCCCUUUGUCGUCCUCUCCCUGGCCGCAUGCAUACCGCACACACAUGAGCACACGCACACAGCCGAAUGCUUGGCGGGGAGGCCCCCACACCGCACAGGCCCCACCCCUCGCAGGGCAUCCCCGGCGGAACCACGUCUGCCCAGGUGCUUACCUCCAUGAGAACCUCGUCCUGUUCGUCAAAGGGCUUCCCGUCUUUCCUGUUGUAAAAUGUGGCGACUCCCACAAUCUCCUCCUUCUUGUUGACGAUGGGCAUGGACAGCACAUUCUUGAUGAGCCACCCGGAGUCGUCCAGGGCCCCUUCCUGCGGGAGCGGUGUCCAGAGCUGAGCUCCGCCCUGAGGCUGGCCCUGGCCCGGGCGUGUGGCCGGGGAGAGUGACCUCAUGUCUUCUCCCCUAGAGCCGUGACGGCUGGGCUCGUGUUCCUGUCUCUGCUCUCUGCAUUCCCUCUCUCCCUCUCUGCAUUUGGAGUUUGUGUCCAUGGUUUUUGUGUCAUGAUAUUUUCCCACCGGAGGAGGUAGAGGCCGUUUUCCCACCAGGAGUGGUUUCAUGGGCAUGUGUGUGGGGCGGCGGUCACGGCCUCGCAGGGGUGUGUGGGGGCCGCGGUCACGGCCUCGCAGGGGUGUGUGGGGGCCGCGGUCACGGCCUCGCAGGGGUGUGUGGGGGCCGCGGUCACGGCCUUGCGGGCGUGUGUGGGGGCUGUGGUCACAGCCCCAGGUGAUCCACCCGCCUCAGCCUCCCAAAGUGCUGGGAUUACAGGCGUGAGCCACCAUGCCUGGCUGAAGUUGUUUUUUAAGUGGCAAAAACGAAUUCACUUCAUCAUCGCUGAAUCAAAAUCUCCUCUUUUGUAAGUAAGUAUAAUUUCUACCAAGGCACAGACAGAUACCUGAAAUUUGAACAUUUCGUCAGCGGAAGCAUUCAUGAUGUUACAAAUCUGAAAAAGCAUCAGAAAAACGAUUUCAUCCAAAACAGCGGAAGGUCUGUUAUGAUCUAAAAUGGCCUCUGUGGCCCUGAGGUGAGCUUUUAAGUAGGUAAAGCAGGGCAGCUGGGGGCUUCACUGAGGCACGUGGAGCUGGCCGGGAGGGCGGGACGUGGCAGAGACAAGGAGAAGCACACAUCGCCGCACCCAGUGAGGGCAAGGCUGUGGGGACUCCAGACAGCACGGGACUCACAAAGCCGCUUUCUGCCACGUAGCUUGGAAGGCCGCUGGCCAGGGCCCAGUGAUCGGCUGAGGGUGUGCUGUGGGCAGAGAGCAGGGGUCAGAUAGGCCACGCCGGGCUGGAUGUGCGCGUGCAGGAGUCAGAGGGACUGGAUGUCUGUGUGCAGGGGUGAGAGGGGCUGGUCUAGGCUGCACGUGUGUGUGCAGGGGUCAGAGGGGCUGGUCUGGGCUGCACGUGUGUGUGCAGGGGUCAGAGGGGCCAGGCUGCGCUGGAUGUAGGUGUACUGGGGUCAGAUGGACUGGGCGUGUGUGCAGGGGUCUGGGGGUCUCUGGCUCAUGUGCCAUCCUCAGCAUUUACUCUCUUCUCUGAGUGCCAGGGGGUUCAGGAGGCGAGGAGGCCAGGGCGUGGGUUGGAGGACGGCUGUGCUGCCUUCUUCCUCCUCCCCAGGCUGCCGUGCUGGGGCCCCUCCCUCUUGGGAACCCCUCCCUCUCCGGAGGCCGUAUGGCUUCAGCCUGCUUUCUAGGACUCAGCGUUGGUGCCUGCCCUGCCACCCUGACCCUGACUUGUGCUCAAGCCUGGCACCUGGAUCCUGGUUCCUGCUUGGGGCCUGGGGAUGGGGUCCCAAUAGGCUUAUGGGAUCACAGGGCCACUGGGCCACCAGCUGCCCCUCCCUUGGCUGGAGUCCUGCCCUGACCUCCGGACUGGAGUUCCCCUCCUCUUCCAGCCCCACGGGGCCAAGACUCGGCCUCCUGGCUGGAGGCUCCACUGUCUGGGUGGGGCUGGUGGUGCCAGGGUCAAAUCCUGGGGCCUUCAUGCUCAAUUGUUGCUGACGAGGCCGCCUGGACAGCUUGCCUGGUCCCCUGUAUGUCCACUCUGGAUGUCCACAGUGACUCGGGCUCCUCAGCAGCCCACGUCCUCCUCACCAUCUCCCAGAACAGAGGCCCACGGAGUACCGCUCGCAGUUGAGGUAGGCCCGCACCGUGUAGAAGGCCUUGUGGAACUGCCUCUCGAUGUCCGUCAGCUCCUCAAACACCUUGUUGGCCGACCACAGCAGCACCUGGAGGGAGGGGCACACCUGUGGGCCUGUGGCCACUCCCACCCUCACGCCGGUCUGACCACAGCAGCAGGGGUUUAACUCAAGCCUGACACAGGUUUCAUCUGAGCUUGUGGGGCCCGGGAGCUGGCUGGCGGUGAGGCCUCGAGGCUGCGGUCGUGUCCCUGAUCACUCAGGAGUGGACGAGUGGAAAGUGGAAUCUGUCGCUUUGAGCUUGACAGGCAAACAUCCGACCAGCCCUUCCUCCGCCCGGCUGCUCCAGAACCACCUGCGGCGAGCAGGGCUUUGAGAACAUCGGGCCGUGGUUUCCGCACGUCAGGCCGCCUGUGGCCUCCGCCAAGCGUCUGAGAGUGAAGCAUUGCUGACGCACUCCACGAGGUCCUGGCCAGACCCCACUCAGGACAUCCCGCUGCACAGGCCCCUGGUUGCUGGGUCAGCGCUGCCACCAGGCUCAGACUCACCCCAGGGCCCUCCUUGGGCCACCUUUCUCUGCCUCCUUGGUCAAGGCCCAGACCCAGGCCCCACCAGGCCCUGCCUCCUCACACUCGCGGCGGCCGCUGGGUCUUCUACCGCAUGGUGCCAGCUCCCUCUCCUCCGCUGCGGUGUCCUAGCCCAGCUCUCUCCCUGCCAGGCCCUCUGAAGUUCCACCCCCUGGCACUCAGCUCAUGGUGGGAACAGGACCAGGCUCUCCUGUUGCCAAGGGCAGUGAGAUGUUCGUAGCUUUAUUUCCCAGUACAUUGAUUUUACUGAUUUUAGUUUAUCUUCAGUUGAAUAAUUGUGUGUAUUGAUGGGGUUUAUGUUUUAUGGGGUUUGGCGUGAUGUUCUGAUGUAAGUAUUUGUUGCAGAAAGAUUCAAUUAAGCUAAUCAACAUAUCCAUCACCUCACCAACUUGUUUUUUUUGUGGUGAGAACAUUACAAGUCUAUUUUCUAGCAAUUUGGUAUACAAUACAGUCAUCCCUCGGCAUCCUCAGGGAAAUUGGUUCCAGGACGCCGCUCUGAUAACAAAAUCCGAGGAUGUUCAAGUCCCGGAUGUGAAAUGGCCUAGAGUUUGUACAGAGGUUGCACACGCACCCCCAGGACUUCAAAUCAUCUCCGAUGACUUAGCACCCAGUGCAAGGCAAGGCCAUGAAAACGGCUGUUCUACUGUAUUGUUUUACAUUCUUAUUCUUAUUUUUAAUUUAAAACUUUUCCCACAUCAUAAAUCCUCGGAAGCAGAACUGCACUUACCGAGCACCCUGUGUACUGUGGUUAACGGCAGUGGUGGCCGCCACACAGCGCGGCUGACCUUGAAGCCCACAGCUCCAGCUAACGAACGCUUUGCACCCUUUCACCAACGUCUCUGCUUUCUCUAUCUCUCUUCCUGCCCCGGCCUCCUGCAACCCCCUUUCCACUCUCUGUUUCCAUGAAUUCAGGGUUUUCGGAUCCCACAUGUGAGUGAGAUCCUAGCUUUUGGCCAGUGGCAUCCUCCAGGUCCAUGCACGUCAGUGCCCUUCCCUGGCAGCAUCCUCAGUGCCGGCUCUGCUGUUCCCAGAGUCCCUCCCUCCCUCCCUGCUGAGGCCCGGCCCCCCUGCAGCCCCUGAGCACCAGCCUCUCUCGUCCAACACCUUUUUCUCCCUGAAGCCUUUCCUGAGCCAUGUUUCUCCAGUGACCCUGACCCCUGCCUCGCAAUCUCCGCCCGGGUCUGCAGCCUACCCUGACUCCUGCCUCACCGAUGGGUGUGGACCCUCCUCACUGGCCUCCACACUCUCCUGCCCUGACCCCAGUCACCGUCGUGGAGCCGCCCUGGCCGCAGUCACAGUCAUGGAGCUGCUGCUGGUGCCACCCUCAGCAGAAGCUCCCAGCCUUCCCAGCCCCUAUCUGAGUAUGUCCCACCCCCCGUGUCCCUGCACUGGUCAGGAGCUUUGGCCCCAUGCCCGUGUGAAGAAGUCAGCUCAGUCACUGGAGUUAGUGGGUCCAGAACAGGACUUGGGAAAACAGCAGGUGCAGAUGGCGACCGCCCUAGCACUCUCCACAGCCCCGGCACCUGCUGAAUGGAGACGGCUCCCCAUAGCCCCGGCGCCUGCUGAAUGGAGACGGCUCUUCAUAGCUCCAGAGCCUGCUGAAUGGAGACGGCUCCCCAUAGCCCUGGC
rnacentral:lncRNA from 1 species